GGGUCGGUAGCUCAGUCGGUAGAGCAGUUGCCUCUUAAGCAAACGGUCGUGGGUUCGAUUCCCACCCGACCCA
rnacentral:tRNA from 1 species